rnacentral:misc_RNA from 1 species
GGGACUGAUGUGGGAUUAGAAAGGGCCCAGCUGGAUGCAUACGGAACGUUUCACGUACAACACAACGUAGGUAGUUGAGAUGGGGCAAAUCAGAUUCUGUCACCAUCCUAUCAGGGCCAACAGCAUAAUCAAGCUCUUCUUGUAUCUUAUUGAGGACAUGUGGAUGCUUGAUCACCUCUGCCAUGGCCCAUUCGUUAGUUACAGCUGAAGUAUCUGUUGCAGCGGCUAUCAUAUCCUGAAUCAGAGCUUUGAUCUCUACAUCAUCCAUGUGCUCCUUGCCAUCUUUGCCUGGCAAUGAUAAUAAAACAUCAACGAAAUCCAUUUCUCCUUCUCCAACUUCCUCUCCCUGCUUCACCUGCCUUGCCCUUCUAUGUUCUUCAAUAAUCUUGGAGUGAAAAUUAUCCACUCUUUUCUCCACUUCCCUCAUUUGGUUCUCACACCCAUAAGGGUCAAUCCACCUCCAAAAUGGCAAAUAAUCACCCAAAUAUAUUACACCUAAAAGCCUAAAUAACUCAUGGGUUACAUGCAUGAACUCCAUGGCCUCUUGGGGACCUGC